CUAGACAGUUUUUCAUGGAGCUGCACAACGCUAAGUACCUGGAAAAAAAAGACAUGCCAAAAAGAUGAAGUUAUCAGAGUGAAAGAAUGCACAGUAAGGAAACAGAGUAAAUGGAUCUCUCUGUUGAGGAGGAAAGAAGCCCUGCUCGAGAAAUUGCCAACUGGUUGGUUAUUCUUUGCUGGCCUUCACUCAGCUUCAGAAAAGACUUGGUUUUAUAAGGAUUCAGCUGUCACUGCAAAAUACACAGUGCUGCUCUGUGCAUCCAACCUGACAGAAAACUAUCUCCAAGCAAAAUCAGCAAGUCCUCCUGUCACAAAAAAAAUGAAGUGA
rnacentral:lncRNA from 1 species